rnacentral:misc_RNA from 1 species
UUUCCGUAGGUGAACCUGCGGAAGGAUCAUUAACGAAUAACUAUGGUGUCUUGGUUGUAGCUGGCUCCUCGGAGCAUGUGCACGCCCGCCAUUUUUAUCUUUCCACCUGUGCACCGACUGUAGGUCUGGAUGACUCUCGUACUCCGGUGCGGAUGCGAGGGUUGCUCUCGGGCUCUCCUCGAAUUUCCAGACUCUACGUCUUUUUACACACCCCAAACGUAUGAUACAGAAUGUAGUCAAUGGGCUUGAUCGCCUAUAAAACACUAUACAACUUUCAGCAACGGAUCUCUUGGCUCUC